rnacentral:rRNA from 1 species
UACGUAGGGUGCAAGCGUUGUCCGGAAUUAUUGGGCGUAAAGAGCUCGUAGGCGGUUUGUUGCGUCGGCUGUGAAAUCCCGAGGCUCAACCUCGGGUCUGCAGUCGAUACGAGCAAACUAGAGUGUUGCAGGGGAGACUGGAAUUCCUGGUGUAGCGGUGAAAUGCGCAGAUAUCAGGAGGAACACCGGUGGCGAAGGCGGGUCUCUGGGCCAUAACUGACGCUGAGGAGCGAAAGCAUGGGGAGCGAACAGG